rnacentral:rRNA from 1 species
GAUGAACGCUGGCGGCGUGCCUAAUACAUGCAAGUCGAGCGAACGGACGAGAAGCUUGCUUCUCUGAUGUUAGCGGCGGACGGGUGAGUAACACGUGGAUAACCUACCUAUAAGACUGGGAUAACUUCGGGAAACCGUAGCUAAUACCGGAUAAUAUUUUGAACCGCAUGGUUCAAAAGUGAAAGACGGUCUUGCUGUCACUUAUAGAAGGAUCCGCGCUGCAUUAGCUAGUUGGUAAGGUAACGGCUUACCAAGGCAACGAUGCAUAGCCGACCUGAGAGGGUGAUCGGCCACACUGGAACUGAGACACGGUCCAGACUCCUACGGGAGGCAGCAGUAGGGAAUCUUCCGCAAUGGGCGAAAGCCUGACGGAGCAACGCCGCGUGAGUGAUGAAGGUCUUCGGAUCGUAAAACUCUGUUAUUAGGGAAGAACAUAUGUGUAAGUAACUGUGCACAUCUUGACGGUACCUAAUCAGAAAGACACGGCUAACUACGUG